AUGGGGAGACUGAGGCUGGGGCCACAGGAGGUGGCAGGUCCUCCCCCUCCACGUCUACGGAGUCCCCACUGCCGCUGCCCUGUCUCCUCUUGCCUGAGGCCCCUGAGCAUCUCCACCCGGAGCUCCGUGCUCCCUGCUGGGUGCUCUCGGCCCUGCACCCCGGGCCCACACUCCACUGUCCGCACCCCCCACCCUGCCCCAUGCCCCCAGCUGUGCUCCCCACCCCGUGUCCCCGCUGGCCCCGUGCCCCUGCAGGUGAGAGCCCCCCGCACCCACCUGCUUCUCGUUCUUGUCCUCCAGCCUCAGCCGGUCUUCAACGUAGCUGCGGGCCUGCAGGAAGGCUUUCCUUUGGGAGCGCUCGGCCGGGACCCUCACGAAGACCCCGUACAUGUUCACGCUGAGGAAAAGCAGGGCGUUGGCUCCGAGCUGGAAGGGAGAGAGCACAGGGCACCCUACGCGGGGGCGCGAGCUCGGCGGGGCUCCUCAGCCUCCACACCCAGCCCGUGUCCCCACGGCACUGCCCAGGUGGCCGCGGGUGCUGGCGACGUUGCUUCCCGGACCAGGAGCCGGGGCGGCAGGUGCACCCCUCGUCCCGAGUGGGCUGCCUCAUGCGGUCGCAGCACAGCACAAAGGGAGCUCUCUGUCCCCAGAGCCAGGCUCACCUGCCGCGCUCUCCACCCGGCACCGGGACGGCGCCUCCUACACACCAUGCAGCCAGAAAACCGCUGUCCCGCGAGGGUCCCCGGAAGCCACCUGAGUCCCCGUGUGACCCGCUCCCUGCCCUGUGACCGGCCCGGCCGAGCUGAUGCGACCCUGGUCAUCUCCAGUCCUGGGAGCCCACCACUGAGCCCUCGCUGGAGCGCUCCUAGCCUGAAGCAGGCUCACGGCACCGGGGAGGUGCUUUUGUGGUGCCUGCAGCAGCCUCCCACCGGGCCCGGGGCAGCAGGGGGACACGGGGUGGGGAGAAGCACCUCCCACAGAAGCACCUCCCAGGUGCCGUGA
rnacentral:lncRNA from 1 species